UACGUAUUCAUGUUGUUGUUGUAACUCGUAAACACACCGAUUUGUGUGCGGAUGGCUAGCUUUGUCUGAUAGUCACAUGUGGGUGUAGAUCAUAAUAACAUCUCCUUGUAGGGCCUUUAUUCCCACUAAUUUUAUUUUGGAAAUGUUAUGUAUUUUUAGUAUUAUAAAAGUGAUAUGAUGGUGCCUUUCUUCAUGUCAGCUAGCCUCUACUGUCCAAGCGGGUAACCUCUUCUAUGUUUCAUUUAAACCUAAGGAUUGAAACACUUUGCGUGGCAUACAAAAGGUCAAAAAUUUACAUUCUUGAAUUUUAUUUUGAAUUACUAAUAGCCAUAAAACAACAUCACUCUAAACCUGUGGUUUGAAGAUCUGUCUUUUCAUUCUUUAAUUGUGUAAUGUCAUAUUGUUAGCUUUACAUAAAAAUUUCUAUUGUUCAGAUUAUCUCUGUGGCAGAAUCUUGAGAAUGUUGUCCAGAAGAGGUUGCUCCAGAUAUCUCAGAGCCGGAUAUCCCAGACCCAGGGGCCUCAGUGCUAGAUACCUCAGAGUUGGAUAUUACACCAGACUCGUGUAUUGAGGACAUCAGUUUUACCACUGAUGUUGAACUUUGCAGUAAGAGCACUAGGGCAACAUAAGUUAAUAUUUGCCCAAAGCGAAGAAGCAAAGGUAUUUCAUACAAAAGGCAGCCUGCUACUGCAUGCACAGCAGUACAGUGCAACCUAUUGGACGCACCCGCUCUCUGCCCCCUGUCUGAGGUUGAUGAAGAUAGUGGUGAGGAGAGUGAAGAGUCAGAAGAAGAUGACCAUAAUGAGAAAGAUGAUCCAGUUUAUCACCCUGACGAGGAAGACUUGCAAGAAGAGGAGCCAAUCAUUAGACUUUCCUCAAUCACCAAAGUCGUUCUUGAAGAAAGCUGUCAGCACCGUGUGGUCAGAAGAGAGAGGAGCAUUGCUGACAGAACUCAAAACGUGUCAGACUGGCUUACAUAGUGCAAAGUAUGGCACUUACAGCAUUCUGGAAACAAAGAUCAUUAAAGUCACCAACGUUGAAACAGUGACUGUAAGAUCAUUUUUUUGCAAUAAAAUUACAAAAAUUCAUUGUAAUAAACUAAAAUGUGAUCAGACAUAAAAUUAUGCUAAAUCAUUCAUGGUUACAAUUUGCACAGUUAUGCCUCUUUUUAUUGUCCGUCUGUUCUUUGUCCAGCUUUGUUACUGGCCUAGUAUCGAACAGUUAAAAUUACACUGUGUGUAAAUUAAGAGGUGUGUACUUUGUAAUCGUGAGGUCUCAGUGGUUAUGGUGCAGCCCUUUUUGUGAAAU